rnacentral:rRNA from 1 species
CUACGGGUCGCUGCAGUGGGGAAUAUUGCACAAUGGGCGCAAGCCUGAUGCAGCAACGCCGCGUGGGGGACGACGGCCUUCGGGUUGUAAACCUCUUUUAGUAGGGAAGAAGCGCAAGUGACGGUACCUACAGAAAAAGCACCGGCUAACUACGUGCCAGCAGCCGCGGUAAUACGUAGGGUGCAAGCGUUGUCCGGAAUUAUUGGGCGUAAAGAGCUCGUAGGCGGUUUGUCGCGUCUGCUGUGAAAAUCCGAGGCUCAACCUCGGACCUGCAGUGGGUACGGGCAAACUAGAGUGCGGUAGGGGAGAUUGGAAUUCCUGGUGUAGCGGUGGAAUGCGCAGAUAUCAGGAGGAACACCAAUGGCGAAGGCAGAUCUCUGGGCCGUAACUGACGCUGAGGAGCGAAAGCGUGGGGAGCGAACAGGAUUAGAUACCCGUGUAGUC